AGUUACAAGUAUUUUGUAGGUAUGUGUUUUGUGCCCUGUUUCAAGUUAAGUGCCAAGUUCAAGAGGAUCAUGACAGUUGGUUUGCUGUUGAAUUUCUUCUCAGAGCUGGAUGGUCUUUCAACAACACUGCUCCGGGUCUUCAGCAAGAAAGGUGCUUCUCAUGCAAGGAAGAUACAGAGGAUCCUGGUGCCCAUGACUCAGACUGACAACAUUGAUGUGAAGAGGGAGUGCAUGCUGAGGAGCUGACGGUCUACCUGAAUGAAGAGCCAGACAAAGUGGAUGUUGAUCUGGACGGUCCAGCUGAAACGUAUUGUCUUCGUGUGCGUGUGAUCGGCAGAGAGUCCUCAACGACAUUGGUAACGUACCUGUGGCCAUUGCAGUGUUUGUUUUGGUUUAUGCUCUUAAUCUCUGUUACCUUCCAGAAUGGAAGUACACUUUCAAAUUUCUGUUUCAUUCUAACCGUCUGUUUCAUCAGUUUUUGCACUGCUUUUAAAUGUACACUGUGUAAGAUUCUUAGUUGUUUAUUUCCAGAAUUCAUGCUACCCAUUC